GAUCUUGAACUAAUCUUUCUUUCUUUCUUUCUUUCUUUCUUUCUUUCUUUCUUUCUUUCUUUCUCUCUCUCUCUCUCGGGGGCAGGGAGGAGAGAGAGAAAGAAAGAAAGAAAGAAAGAAAGAAAGAAAGAAAGAAAGAAAGAA
rnacentral:miRNA from 1 species